GACGAACGCUGGCGGCGUGCCUAAUACAUGCAAGUCGAACGCAGUGGGGACGGGUGAGUAACACGUGGGUAACCUCCCAUCAGAGGGGAUAACACUUGGAAACAGGUGCUAAACCGAUACUGAUGGAUGAACCCGCGGGGCAUUAGCUAGUUGGGGAGGUAACGGCUAACCAAGGCCACGAUGCAUAGCCGACCUGAGAGGGUGACCGGCCACACUGGAACUGAGACACGGCCCAGACUCCGACGGGAGGCAGCAGUAGGGAAUAUUCGGCAAUGGGCGAAAGCCUGACCGAGCAAUGCCGCGUGAGUGAAGAAGGUUUUCGGAUCGUAAAACACUGUUGUUAGAGAAGCGGUAUCUAACCAGAAAGCCACGGCUAACUACGUGCCAGCAGCCGCGGUAAUUC
rnacentral:rRNA from 1 species